UUUGCCUGCCCAAUCUAAUAUUUAAUGUUGAAUGACUUGGCUUACAUGUUGCCUCUAGGUCACUACUCUCCAUGAUAGAAUCUGCAAAUUAUUUAGCACCAGACACUGGAUGCACUGCAUAGCCCACCUCAAAAAUCGACAGGGCACGGCAGUACUCCCACAUAUGCACUCACACUUUGUAGCAGAACAAUGAAAGCAUCCCUCCU